UGAGUCGGCCGGGUGAUCGCGGCUCCCCGAACCACCGUGUACACGGGUAGGCGGGGGUCGAGGAAAGUCCGGACUCCAUACGGGCACGGUGGUUGCUAACGGCAACCCGGAGUGAUCCGCGGGAAAGUGCAACAGAGAGUAGACCGCCUGCCCCUCGUGGCAGGUAAGGGUGAAAGGGUGCGGUAAGAGCGCACCGGCAUGCGUGGUGACACGCGUGGCCAGGUAAACCCCACCGGGAGCAAGGCAAGAGCCCCCGCUUUUUGGAAGCGGAGGUUGUCGGACGCGACGAGGCUGCCCGCCCAUGUCCGAAGGUAGCUGCUGGAGGCCCCCAGCGAUGGGAGGUCCAGAUGGAUGAUCGCCGCCCGGUCUUGAGGCUGGGCACAGAAUCCGGCUUACAGGCCGGCUCAUUCG
rfam:Corynebacterium lipophiloflavum DSM 44291 genomic scaffold SCAFFOLD2, whole genome shotgun sequence.